UACGGGGGGGGUAAGCGUUGUUCGGAAUUACUGGGCGUAAAGGGCUCGUAGGCGGCCAACUAAGUCGGACGUGAAAUCCCUCAGCUUAACUGGGGAACUGCGUCUGAUACGGGCAGACUAGAGGUAUGCAGGGGAGAACGGAAUUCCUGGUGUAGCGGUGAAAUGCGCAGAUAUCAGGAGGAACACCGGUGGCGAAGGCGGUUCUCUGGCAAUGUUCUGACGCUGAGGAGCGAAAGCGUGGGGAGCGAACAGG
rnacentral:rRNA from 1 species